CUCAUGAAGAGUUCAUUCCUGGCUCAGGUUGAACGCUGGUGGCAUGCUGAACACAUGAAAGUCGGAUGGGAAACACGGGAAAUGGUGUUUCCAAUGGUGAAUAGGUGAGUAACCUGUAAGAACUUGCCCUUGGGAGGGGAACAACAGCUGGAAACGGCUGUUAAUACCCCAUAGACUGAGGAGAAAAAGAAGGAAUCCGCCUAAGGAGGGGCUCGCAUCUGAUUAGCUAGUUGGUGAGGCAAUAGCUUACUAAGGCGAUGAUUAGUAUUUGGUCUGAGAGGAUGAUCAGCCACACUGGGAUUGAGACACGGCCCAAACUCCUAUGGGAGGAAGCAGUGGGGAAUUUUCCACAAUGGGCGAACGCCUGACGGAGCAAUGCCGCAUGGAAGUAGAAGGCCCACAGGUCAUGAACUUCUUUUCCUGGAGAAGAAGCAAUAACGGUAUCUGGAGAAGAAGCAUUGGAUAACUCUGUGCUAGCAGCCACGGUAAUACAGAGGAUACAAGCAUUAUCCAGAAUGAUUGGGCGUAAAGUAUCUGUAGGUGGCUUUUUAAGUCUGCCAUCAAAUCCUAGGGCUCAACCUUGGACAGGAGAUGGAAACUACCAAGAUGGAGUACGGUAGGGGCAGAGGGAAUUUUUGGUGGAGUGGUGAAAUGCGUAGAGAUCGGAAAGAACACCAACGGUGAAAGCACUCUGCUGCAACUCGCCUACAACUCGCCUGCAUGAAUUCAGAAUUGGUAGUAAUUGCCGGUCAGCCAUAUGGCGGUGAAUUUAUUCCCGGGCCUUGUACACACCUCCCGUCACACUAUGGGAGCUGGCCAUGCCUGAAGUCAUUACCUAAACUGCAAGGAGAGGUAUGCUAAAGGCAGGGCUAGUGACUGGAGUGAAGUUGUAACAAGGUAGCCGUACUGGAAGGUGCGGAUGGAUCACCUCCUUU
rnacentral:rRNA from 1 species